rnacentral:rRNA from 1 species
GUUAAGAGGACGUGAAACCGUGCAGAAGUAACUUGGUGGAAGGGCAAUGUCGCCUGCAGGAUUCAGCCGUCCGUCUCUUUGUUUACAUGUUCGCCAACCAUUUAGCGAUGGAGUGCUGCUGUAGGCUGUGAGAUGGUCGGUGCACUUUCUGUGGGUGAGCGCAAAGAUCGCUUGGUGCGUCGACAAAAGUCUUGAUGCAGUCGCCUCAGGUUAAUUCUUGGGAGCGUACAUUAAGUUACCCGUCGAAUGUGCCGAGUGAGAUCACACUCUGACCGCAUGUCUCUUGACUAGCGUUAUCAUGGGAGAUUGAACUGUUGGUGCUUCUGCUGUAACAGGUGGAACGCUACGACCCUCUUCUGUGAACGGCGUUGGUGUGAGAGAUGUCAGACAUGAUCGUUUGCGUCCGAGUCCCGCUCCCACCUAUAUCGUCUUGAAACACGAGCCGAGAAGUCUAACAGAUGCGCAAGUCAAUGGGCUAUCAACAAACCCCAAAGGCGCAAUGAAAGUAAAGCCGUGGCCUUGUGCUCGGCGAGCUGAGAUCCGCAGUCCGCUGCGGCGCAUCAGCGUCCCGUCUUAAGAACCCUUCGGGGCUUCUGAGGCGGAGAUAGAGCGUAUCUGUUAGGACCCGAAAGAUGGUGAACUAUGCCUGUGUAGACUGAAGCCAGAAGAAAUUCUGGUGGAAGGUCGUAGCGUUUUUGACGUGCAAAUCAAUCGUCAAACAUGGCAUA